rnacentral:rRNA from 1 species
UACAGAGGGUGCGAGCGUUAAUCGGAUUUACUGGGCGUAAAGCGUGCGUAGGCGGCUGAUUAAGUCGGAUGUGAAAUCCCUGAGCUUAACUUAGGAAUUGCAUUCGAUACUGGUCAGCUAGAGUAUGGGAGAGGAUGGUAGAAUUCCGGGUGUAGCGGUGAAAUGCGUAGAGAUCUGGAGGAAUACCGAUGGCGAAGGCAGCCAUCUGGCCUAAUACUGACGCUGAGGUACGAAAGCAUGGGGAGCAAACAGGAUUAGAUACCCCGGUAGU